rnacentral:rRNA from 1 species
GAUGAACGCUAGCUACAGGCUUAACACAUGCAAGUCGAGGGGCAGCAUGGUCUUAGCUUGCUAAGGCUGAUGGCGACCGGCGCACGGGUGAGUAACACGUAUCCAACCUGCCGUCUACUCUUGGCCAGCCUUCUGAAAGGAAGAUUAAUCCAGGAUGGCAUCAUGAGUUCACAUGUCCGCAUGAUUAAAGGUAUUUUCCGGUAGACGAUGGGGAUGCGUUCCAUUAGAUAGUAGGCGGGGUAACGGCCCACCUAGUCAACGAUGGAUAGGGGUUCUGAGAGGAAGGUCCCCCACAUUGGAACUGAGACACGGUCCAAACUCCUACGGGAGGCAGCAGUGGGGAAUAUUGGUCAAUGGGCGAUGGCCUGAACCAGCCAAGUAGCGUGAAGGAUGACUGCCCUAUGGGUUGUAAACUUCUUUUAUAAAGGAAUAAAGUCGGGUAUGCAUACCCGUUUGCAUGUACUUUAUGAAUAAGGAUCGGCUAACUCCGUGCCAGCAGCCGCGGUAAUACGGAGGAUCCGAGCGUUAUCCGGAUUUAUUGGGUUUAAAGGGAGCGUAGAUGGAUGUUUAAGUCAGUUGUGAAAGUUUGCGGCUCAACCGUAAAAUUGCAGUUGAUACUGGAUGUCUUGAGUGCAGUUGAGGCAGGCGGAAUUCGUGGUGUAGCGGUGAAAUGCUUAGAUAUCACGAAGAACUCCGAUUGCGAAGGCAGCCUGCUAAG